rnacentral:rRNA from 1 species
AUUCCAGCUCCAAGAGCGUAUAUUAAAGUUGUUGCAGUUAAAAAGCUCGUAGUUGGAUUUCUGGUAUAAUGCGCCUGGCCCGCUCCGUUUCGGAGUGAGUGCCGGUGCGCGUUUGCCAUCCUUCUAGAAAAUGUUUCUACCCUUCGCUGGGCCGGAUUCACGAUCUAGAUCUUUUACUUUGAAAAAAUUAGAGUGUUUAAAGCAGGCUUUUGCUAUGAAUACAUUAGCAUGGAAUAAUAAUCUAGGACUUCGGUUCUAUUUUGUUGGUUUCUAGUACUGAAGUAAUGAUUGAUAGGGAUAGUUGGGGGUGCUAGUAUUGACCGGCCAGAGGUGAAAUUCUUGGAUUCGGUCAAGACUAACUUAUGCGAAAGCAUUCACCAAGGAUGUCUUCAUUG